GGGGAAUAUUGCACAAUGGGCGAAAGCUUGAUGCAGCGACGCCGCGUGGGGGAUGAAGGCCUUCGGGUUGUAAACCUCUUUCGGCUCUGACGAAGCUGCCUGGUUUUCCGGGUGGUGACGGUAGGGGUUGAAGAAGCGCCGGCCAACUACGUGCCAGCAGCCGCGGUAAGACGUAGGGCGCGAGCGUUGUCCGGAUUUAUUGGGCGUAAAGAGCUCGUAGGCGGCCUGUCACGUCAUCCGUGAAAUCCUGCGGCUUAACCGUGGGCGUGCGGUUGAUACGGGCGGGCUGGAGUUCGGUAGGGGAGACUGGAAUUCCUGGUGUAGCGGUGAAAUGCGCAGAUAUCAGGAGGAACACCGGUGGCGAAGGCGGGUCUCUGGGCCGAGACUGACGCUGAGGAGCGAGAGCGUGGGGAGCGAAC
rnacentral:rRNA from 1 species